ACGCUGGCGGCGUGCCUAAUACAUGCAAGUAGAACGCUGAAGGAGGAGCUUGCUUCUCCGGAUGAGUUGCGAACGGGUGAGUAACGCGUAGGUAGCCUGCCUGGUAGCGGGGGAUAACUAUUGGAAACGAUAGCUAAUACCGCAUAAUAGUAGAUGUUGCAUGACAUUUGCUUAAAAGGUGCAAUUGCAUCACUACCAGAUGGACCUGCGUUGUAUUAGCUAGUUGGUGGGGUAACGGCUCACCAAGGCGACGAUACAUAGCCGACCUGAGAGGGUGAUCGGCCACACUGGGACUGAGACACGGCCAAGACUCCUACGGGAGGCAGCAGUAGGGAAUCUUCGGCAAUGGACGGAAGUCUGACCGAGCAACGCCGCGUGAGUGAAGAAGGUUUUCGGAUCGUAAAGCUCUGUUGUAAGAGAAGAACGAGUGUGAGAGUGGAAAGUUCACACUGUGACGGUAUCUUACCAGAAAGGGACGGCUAACUACGUGCCAGCAGCCGCGGUAAUACGUAGGUCCCGAGCGUUGUCCGGAUUUAUUGGGCGUAAAGCGAGCGCAGGCGGUUAGAUAAGUCUGAAGUUAAAGGCUGUGGCUUAACCAUAGUACGCUUUGGAAACUGUUUAACUUGAGUGCAAGAGAGGAGAGUGGAAUUCCAUGUGUAGCGGUGAAAUGCGUAGAUAUAUGGAGGAACACCGGUGGCGAAAGCGGCUCUCUGGCUUGUAACUGACGCUGAGGCUCGAAAGCGUGGGGAGCAAACAGGAUUAGAUACCCUGGUAGUCCACGCCGUAAACGAUGAGUGCUAGGUGUUAGACCCUUUCCGGGGUUUAGUGCCGCAGCUAACGCAUUAAGCACUCCGCCUGGGGAGUACGACCGCAAGGUUGAAACUCAAAGGAAUUGACGGGGGCCCGCACAAGCGG
rnacentral:rRNA from 1 species